CAGUAGCCGCGGUAAUACGAAGGGUGCAAGCGUUAAUCGGAAUUACUGGGCGUAAAGCGUGCGUAGGCGGUUUGUUAAGUCUGUUGUGAAAUCCCCGGGCUCAACCUGGGAAUGGCAAUGGAUACUGGCAAGCUAGAGUGUGUCAGAGGAUGGUGGAAUUCCCGGUGUAGCGGUGUAAUGCGUAGAGAUCGGGAGGAACAUCAGUGGCGAAGGCGGCCAUCUGGGACAACACUGACGCUGAGGCACGAAAGCGUGGGGAGCAAACAGGAUUAGAUACCCCAGUAGUCCCUGUCUCUUAUAA
rnacentral:rRNA from 1 species